UGGUGCCGCGCUCGCCUGUUGAUAAACAGAGGAACUCACGAAACCUGGUUCUUCUUUGCCGCAUCAGCGAACCUCGAUUCUCAGAGCCCCUUGGAGGGACUUGAGGCCCCUCUUUAGUUCCCUGUUUAGUGCCCCCUUUCUUUCUGGGCAGGGGAGAAGCCUACAAAUAGGUGGUCUUGUGGGGUUUUGCAGUUUCUGUUUGCUUGUUUGUAGACAGGGUCUCAUUACAUAGCCCUGGCUAUGCCUUGAACUUGCAAUGUAGAGUAGGUUGGCAUCAAACUCACAGAGAUCCACCUACUUCCAUGCACCACCAUGCCGGCCAACUGAGUGAUCUCAAAGUAGCCCGCAGCCACCCCGGAGCCCUCCUGACACGGGAAUGCUGUUCUUAGUACAUAGGAGCCAGGUGUUGUGAGUGAGCGGGGAACCGCUGCAGCUCCAUCCAGAGUGCCACCCAGGACCUGUCUGACCCAGGGAGCCAGCAGGUUCUGCAGGGAGAGCAAGAUCAUGUUUCUCUUUGGCCUUAGAUCUGAGCCGAUUAAGUCUGGCCCACUGAGUUUUAUCAGGUGUGGAGAAAUGUAGGGAGGCUCUGUGGAAGAGCUCCAGGAUAUGUAAACAUAAUCACUCAGAGAGAAGGGCUGAGGAUGAGAGAACUAAUGACGUUAGCACCUCCCAUGAUGCUCUGUGCGCAACUUUGGUCUGCGGAAGAAGCCGUUGAUAGAAACGGCCGGAACCUUUCCACUGUAGACGGUUUAGAUGUUCCUUGUGUUCCACUUCAGUAGCUUCUUUAGUUGUGAACUUCUGGGGUCACCUGACAUUUGCUCCCAAAAGAUGACAGAGGACUUUGGGGGCGCUUCACCAAGAUUUGGAAAACCACUGGAGACACAACCAAGCGGGAUGUGCGUUCACCCACCCCACAACUCAAGCAGGGCUCGGUUAAUUCAAAGGAAACAACAACAACAAACCCGAAAGGUUCCAUACAAGGGUGGAAAAGGACGAUCCCAGAGUCAAGCUGCAAAGAAGACUCUGAGACCAGAUUAGCUGCUUGGAAGAAGCAGAAACCAGCCGAGCUGCCUGGAAGAGGUGUAGACCAACUGAGGCAUCUGGAAAGGACCCUCUCCAACCUGUUGAGCGGCCUGCAGGCUGUGCCAUGAGCUCCAGGUUCCCAGCUCUGUGAGCUGUCACCCAUGCUUUGGGCUUUGGUGAUGUAGCUGAGUCAUUUCUGCUCAUGUAAGUAAGUAAGCCAUCCCCUAUAUUGCUGUAAGCAACCCCAAUAAAACUCACUGGACUUUG